rnacentral:rRNA from 1 species
UACGGAGGGUGCAAGCGUUAUCCGGAUUCACUGGGUUUAAAGGGUGUGUAGGCGGGUAUUUAAGUCAGUGGUGAAAUCUCUGAGCUCAACUCAGAAACUGCCAUUGAUACUAUUUAUCUUGAAUAUCGUUGAGGUUGGCGGAAUAUAUCGUGUAGCGGUGAAAUGCAUAGAUAUGAUAUAGAACACCGAUUGCGAAGGCAGCUAACUAAGCGAUGAUUGACGCUGAGGCACGAAAGCGUGGGGAUCAAACAGG